rnacentral:misc_RNA from 1 species
GAAAUGCGAUAAGUAAUGUGAAUUGCAGAAUUCAGUGAAUCAUCGAAUCUUUGAACGCACAUUGCGCCCAUUAGUAUUCUAGUGGGCAUGCCUGUUCGAGCGUCAUUUCAACCCCUAAGCACAGCUUAUUGUUGGGCGUCUACGUCUGUAGUGCCUCAAAGACAUUGGCGGAGCGGCAGCAGUCCUCUGAGCGUAGUAAUUCUUUAUCUCGCUUCUGUUAGGCGCUGCCCCCCCGGCCGUAAAACCCCCAAUUUUUUCUGGUUGACCUCGGAUCAGGUAGGAAUACCCGCUGAACUUAAGC